GCAUCACACAGUUGCCGCAGAUUUGUCGGCUGCACAUCCAUGAUGCGAAUCUCCCGUUCCACCACAUCCCAAAGAUGCUCUAUUGGAUUGAGAUCUGGUGACUGUGGAGGCCAUUUGAGUACAGUGAACUCAUUGUCAUGUUCAAGAAACCAGUCUGAGAUGAUUCCAGCUUUAUGACAUGGCGCAUUAUCCUGCUGAAAGUAGCCAUCAGAAGUUGGGUACAUUGUGGUCAUAAAGGGAUGGACAUGGUCAGCAACAAUACUCAGGUAGGCUGUGGCGUUGCAACGAUGCUCAAUUGGUACCAAGGGGCCCAAAGAGUGCCAAGAAAAUAUUCCCCACACCAUGACACCACCACCACCAGCCUGAACCGUUGAUACAAGGCAGGAUGGAUCCAUGCUUUCAUGUUGUUGACGCCAAAUUCUGACCCUACCAUCCGAAUGUCGCAGCAGAAAUCGAGACUCAUUAGACCAGGCAACGUUUUUUCAAUCUUCUAUUGUCCAAUUUCGAUGAGCUUGUGCAAAUUGUAGCCUCAGUUUCCUGUUCUUAGCUGAAAGGAGUGGCACCCGGCGUGGUCUUCUGCUGCUGUAGACCAUCUGCCUCAAAGUUCGACGUACUGUGCGUUCAGAGAUGUUCUUCUGCCUACCUUGGUUGUAACGGGUGGUUAUUUGAGUCACUGUUGCCUUUCUAUCAGCUCAAACCAGUAUGGCCAUUCUCCUCUGACCUCUGGCAUCAACAAGGCAUUUCCGCCCACAGAACUGCCGCUCACUGGAUAUUUUUUCUUUUUCGGACCAUUCUCUGUAAACCCUAGAGAUGGUUGUGUGUGAAAAUCCCAGUAGAUCAGCAGUUUCUGAAAUACUCAGACCAGCCCUUCUGGCACCAACAACCAUGCCACGUUCAAAGUCACUCAAAUCACCUUUCUUCCCCAUACUGAUGCUCGGUUUGAACUGCAGGAGAUUGUCUUGACCAUGUCUACAUGCCUAAAUGCACUAAGUUGCCGCCAUGUGAUUGGUUGAUUAGAAAUUAAGUGUUAACGAGCAGUUGGACAGGUGUACCUAAUAAAGUGGCCGGUGAGUGUACAUUUAGGGUUCACCUUGACUCCCUACUCCAUCAAAAUGGGCUAUGACCUCCAAGACAUCCAGGCCGGUUAGCUCAGAUGGUCAGAGCGUGGUGCUAAUAACGCCAAGGUCAUGGGUUCAAUCCCCAUACUGGCCAAAGACUUCCCCAUCACAAUUGUAACGAAAGCAGACUGAAAGAAAACACAAAGAACUAUCAGCAUAUCAAAACCUUAAAAGUGACCUUUACAUGCUCAGUGUAGCCUGUGCAAAAAGUUUUCAUGUAAAAGUAAAUCUACCUUGGAGUUAGUCCCCAAACUAGUCAAAGACAUCCUCAUCAUAAUCAUUACCAAACUCCUCUGCCAGUGGUUUGAACUUGCAUUUUAUUGUAUGAAAAGGUCAAAAAUGGGGGGUAAGUGAAAUUUGUGACAUUUGCACUUUUUUCAGACCACGUGGCCUAAUGGAUAAGGCGUCUGACUUCGGAUCAGAAGAUUGAGGGUUCAAGUCCCUUCGUGGUUGAAACCCUGCCUUUAGUAGCAAAGAUAAUCCUUUCCCACUAUACACUCACCGGCCACUUUAUUAGGUACGCCAUGCUAGUAACGGGUUGGACCCCCUUUUGCCUUCAGAACUGCCUCAAUUCUUCGUGGCAUAGAUUCAACAAGGUGCUGGAAGCAUUCCUCAGAGAGCUUGGUCCAUAUUGACAUGAUGGCAUCACACAGUUGCCGCAGAUUUGUCGGCUGCACAUCCAUGAUGCGAAUCUCCCGUUCCACCACAUCCCAAAGAUGCUCUAUUGGAUUGAGAUCUGGUGACUGUGGAGGCCAUUUGAGUACAGUGAACUCAUUGUCAUGUUCAAGAAACCAGUCUGAGAUGAUUCCAGCUUUAUGACAUGGCGCAUUAUCCUGCUGAAAGUAGCCAUCAGAAGUUGGGUACAUUGUGGUCAUAAAGGGAUGGACAUGGUCAGCAACAAUACUCAGGUAGGCUGUGGCGUUGCAACGAUGCUCAAUUGGUACCAAGGGGCCCAAAGAGUGCCAAGAAAAUAUUCCCCACACCAUGACACCACCACCACCAGCCUGAACCGUUGAUACAAGGCAGGAUGGAUCCAUGCUUUCAUGUUGUUGACGCCAAAUUCUGACCCUACCAUCCGAAUGUCGCAGCAGAAAUCGAGACUCAUUAGACCAGGCAACGUUUUUUCAAUCUUCUAUUGUCCAAUUUCGAUGAGCUUGUGCAAAUUGUAGCCUCAGUUUCCUGUUCUUAGCUGAAAGGAGUGGCACCCGGCGUGGUCUUCUGCUGCUGUAGACCAUCUGCCUCAAAGUUCGACGUACUGUGCGUUCAGAGAUGUUCUUCUGCCUACCUUGGUUGUAACGGGUGGUUAUUUGAGUCACUGUUGCCUUUCUAUCAGCUCAAACCAGUAUGGCCAUUCUCCUCUGACCUCUGGCAUCAACAAGGCAUUUCCGCCCACAGAACUGCCGCUCACUGGAUAUUUUUUCUUUUUCGGACCAUUCUCUGUAAACCCUAGAGAUGGUUGUGUGUGAAAAUCCCAGUAGAUCAGCAGUUUCUGAAAUACUCAGACCAGCCCUUCUGGCACCAACAACCAUGCCACGUUCAAAGUCACUCAAAUCACCUUUCUUCCCCAUACUGAUGCUCGGUUUGAACUGCAGGAGAUUGUCUUGACCAUGUCUACAUGCCUAAAUGCACUAAGUUGCCGCCAUGUGAUUGGUUGAUUAGAAAUUAAGUGUUAACGAGCAGUUGGACAGGUGUACCUAAUAAAGUGACCGGUGAGUGUACAUUUAGGGUUCACCUUGACUCCCUACUCCAUCAAAAUGGGCUAUGACCAGCAAGACAUCCAGGCCGGUUAGCUCAGAUGGUCAGAGCGUGGUGCUAAUAACGCCAAGGUCAUGGGUUCAAUCCCCAUACUGGCCAAAGACUUCCUCAUCACAAUUUUAACUAAAGGACACUGAAAGAAAACACAAAGAACUAUCAGCAUAUCACAUCCUUAAAAGUGACCUUUACAUGCUCAGUGUAGCCUUUGCAAAAAGCUUUCAUGAAAAAGUAAAUCUACCUUGGAGUGAGUCCCCAUACUAGUCAAAGACAUCCUCAUCAUAAUCAUUACCAAACUCCUCUGCCAGUCGUUUGAACUUGCAAUUUAUUGUAUGAGAAGGUCAAAAAUGGGGGGUAAGUGAAAUUUGGUUAAUUUGGUUAAUUUGCACUUUUUUCAGACCACGUGGCCUAAUGGACAAGGCGUCUGACUUCGGAUCAGAAGAUUGAGGGUUCAAGUCCCUUCGUGGUUGAAACCCUGCCUUUAGUAGCAAAGAUAAUCCUUUCCCACUAUACAUUUAGGGUUCACCUUGACUCCCUACUCCAUCAAAAUGGGCUAUGACCAGCAAGACAUCCAGGCCGGUUAGCUCAGAUGGUCAGAGCGUGUUGCUAAUAACGCCAAGGUCAUGGGUUCAAUCCCCAUACUGGCCAAAGACUUCCCCAUCACAAUUGUAACGAAAGCAGACUGAAAGAAAACACAAAGAACUAACAGCAUAUCAAAACCUUAAAAGUCACCUUUACAUGCUCAGUGUCGCCUGGGCAAAAAGUUUUCAUGUAAAAGUAAAUCUACCUUGGAGUUAGUCCCCAAACUAGUCAAAGACAUCCUCAUCAUAAUCAUUACCAAACUCCUCUGCCAGUCGUUUGAACUUGCAUUUUAUUGUAUGAAAAGGUCAAAAAUGGGGGGUAAGUGAAAUUUGUGACAUUUGCACUUUUUUCGGACCACGUGGCCUAAUGGAUAAGGCGUCUGAUCUCGGAUCAGAAGAUUGAGGGUUCAAGUCCCUUCGUGGUUGAAACCCUGCCUUUAGUAGCAAAGAUAAUCCUUUCCCACUAUACAUUUAGGGUUCACCUUGACUCCCUACUCCAUCAAAAUGGGCUAUGACCUCCAAGACAUCCAGGCCGGUUAGCUCAGAUGGUCAGAGCGUGGUGCUAAUAACGCCAAGGUCAUGGGUUCAAUCCCCAUACUGGCCAAAGACUUCCCCAUCACAAUUGUAACGAAAGCAGACUGAAAGAAAACACAAAGAACUAUCAGCAUAUCAAAACCUUAAAAGUGACCUUUACAUGCUCAGUGUAGCCUGUGCAAAAAGUUUUCAUGUAAAAGUAAAUCUACCUUGGAGUUAGUCCCCAAACUAGUCAAAGACAUCCUCAUCAUAAUCAUUACCAAACUCCUCUGCCAGUGGUUUGAACUUGCAUUUUAUUGUAUGAAAAGGUCAAAAAUGGGGGGUAAGUGAAAUUUGUGACAUUUGCACUUUUUUCAGACCACGUGGCCUAAUGGAUAAGGCGUCUGACUUCGGAUCAGAAGAUUGAGGGUUCAAGUCCCUUCGUGGUUGAAACCCUGCCUUUAGUAGCAAAGAUAAUCCUUUCCCACUAUACACUCACCGGCCACUUUAUUAGGUACGCCAUGCUAGUAACGGGUUGGACCCCCUUUUGCCUUCAGAACUGCCUCAAUUCUUCGUGGCAUAGAUUCAACAAGGUGCUGGAAGCAUUCCUCAGAGAGCUUGGUCCAUAUUGACAUGAUGGCAUCACACAGUUGCCGCAGAUUUGUCGGCUGCACAUCCAUGAUGCGAAUCUCCCGUUCCACCACAUCCCAAAGAUGCUCUAUUGGAUUGAGAUCUGGUGACUGUGGAGGCCAUUUGAGUACAGUGAACUCAUUGUCAUGUUCAAGAAACCAGUCUGAGAUGAUUCCAGCUUUAUGACAUGGCGCAUUAUCCUGCUGAAAGUAGCCAUCAGAAGUUGGGUACAUUGUGGUCAUAAAGGGAUGGACAUGGUCAGCAACAAUACUCAGGUAGGCUGUGGCGUUGCAACGAUGCUCAAUUGGUACCAAGGGGCCCAAAGAGUGCCAAGAAAAUAUUCCCCACACCAUGACACCACCACCACCAGCCUGAACCGUUGAUACAAGGCAGGAUGGAUCCAUGCUUUCAUGUUGUUGACGCCAAAUUCUGACCCUACCAUCCGAAUGUCGCAGCAGAAAUCGAGACUCAUUAGACCAGGCAACGUUUUUUCAAUCUUCUAUUGUCCAAUUUCGAUGAGCUUGUGCAAAUUGUAGCCUCAGUUUCCUGUUCUUAGCUGAAAGGAGUGGCACCCGGCGUGGUCUUCUGCUGCUGUAGACCAUCUGCCUCAAAGUUCGACGUACUGUGCGUUCAGAGAUGUUCUUCUGCCUACCUUGGUUGUAACGGGUGGUUAUUUGAGUCACUGUUGCCUUUCUAUCAGCUCAAACCAGUAUGGCCAUUCUCCUCUGACCUCUGGCAUCAACAAGGCAUUUCCGCCCACAGAACUGCCGCUCACUGGAUAUUUUUUCUUUUUCGGACCAUUCUCUGUAAACCCUAGAGAUGGUUGUGUGUGAAAAUCCCAGUAGAUCAGCAGUUUCUGAAAUACUCAGACCAGCCCUUCUGGCACCAACAACCAUGCCACGUUCAAAGUCACUCAAAUCACCUUUCUUCCCCAUACUGAUGCUCGGUUUGAACUGCAGGAGAUUGUCUUGACCAUGUCUACAUGCCUAAAUGCACUAAGUUGCCGCCAUGUGAUUGGUUGAUUAGAAAUUAAGUGUUAACGAGCAGUUGGACAGGUGUACCUAAUAAAGUGGCCGGUGAGUGUACAUUUAGGGUUCACCUUGACUCCCUACUCCAUCAAAAUGGGCUAUGACCAGCAAGACAUCCAGGCCGGUUAGCUCAGAUGGUCAGAGCGUGGUGCUAAUAACGCCAAUGUCAUGGGUUCAAUCCCCAUACUGGCCAAAGACUUCCUCAUCACAAUUUUAACUAAAGGACACUGAAAGAAAACACAAAGAACUAUCAGCAUAUCACAUCCUUAAAAGUGACCUUUACAUGCUCAGUGUAGCCUUUGCAAAAAGCUUUCAUGAAAAAGUAAAUCUACCUUGGAGUGAGUCCCCAUACUAGUCAAAGACAUCCUCAUCAUAAUCAUUACCAAACUCCUCUGCCAGUCGUUUGAACUUGCAAUUUAUUGUAUGAGAAGGUCAAAAAUGGGGGGUAAGUGAAAUUUGGUUAAUUUGGUUAAUUUGCACUUUUUUCAGACCACGUGGCCUAAUGGACAAGGCGUCUGACUUCGGAUCAGAAGAUUGAGGGUUCAAGUCCCUUCGUGGUUGAAACCCUGCCUUUAGUAGCAAAGAUAAUCCUUUCCCACUAUACAUUUAGGGUUCACCUUGACUCCCUACUCCAUCAAAAUGGGCUAUGACCACCAAGACAUGCAGGCCGGUUAGCUCAGAUGGUCAGAGCAUGGUGCUAAUAAUGCUAAGGUCAUGGGUUCAAUCCCCAUACUGGCCAAAGACUUCCCCAUCACAAUUGUAACGAAAGCAGACUGAAAGAAAACACAAAGAACUAUCAGCAUAUCAAAACCUUAAAAGUCACCUUUACAUGCUCAGUGUCGCCUGGGCAAAAAGUUUUCAUGUAAAAGUAAAUCUACCUUGGAGUUAGUCCCCAAACUAGUCAAAGACAUCCUCAUCAUAAUCAUUACCAAACUCCUCUUCCAGUCGUUUGAACUUGCAUUUUAUUGUAUGAAAAGGUCAAAAAUGGGGGGUAAGUGAAAUUUGUGACAUUUGCACUUUUUUCAGACCACGUGGCCUAAUGGAUAAGGCGUCUGACUUCGGAUCAGAAGAUUGAGGGUUCAAGUCCCUUCGUGGUUGAAACCCUGCCUUUAGUAGCAAAGAUAAUCCUUUCCCACUAUACAUUUAGGGUUCACCUUGACUCCCUACUCCAUCAAAAUGGGCUAUGACCAGCAAGACAUCCAGGCCGGUUAGCUCAGAUGGUCAGAGCGUGGUGCUAAUAACGCCAAGGUCAUGGGUUCAAUCCCCAUACUGGCCAAAGACUUCCCCAUCACAAUUGUAACGAAAGCAGACUGAAAGAAAACACAAAGAACUAUCAGCAUAUCAAAACCUUAAAAGUGACCUUUACAUGCUCAGUGUAGCCUGUGCAAAAAGUUUUCAUGUAAAAGUAAAUCUACCUUGGAGUUAGUCCCCAAACUAGUCAAAGACAUCCUCAUCAUAAUCAUUACCAAACUCCUCUGCCAGUCGUUUGAACUCGCAUUUUAUUGUAUGAAAAGGUCAAAAAUGGGGGGUAAGUGAAAUUUGUGACAUUUGCACUUUUUUCAGACCACGUGGCCUAAUGGAUAAGGCGUCUGACUUCGGAUCAGAAGAUUGAGGGUUCAAGUCCCUUCGUGGUUGAAACCCUGCCUUUAGUAGCAAAGAUAAUCCUUUCCCACUAUACACUCACCGGCCACUUUAUUAGGUACGCCAUGCUAGUAACGGGUUGGACCCCCUUUUGCCUUCAGAACUGCCUCAAUUCUUCGUGGCAUAGAUUCAACAAGGUGCUGGAAGCAUUCCUCAGAGAGCUUGGUCCAUAUUGACAUGAUGGCAUCACACAGUUGCCGCAGAUUUGUCGGCUGCACAUCCAUGAUGCGAAUCUUCCGUUCCACCACAUCCCAAAGAUGCUCUAUUGGAUUGAGAUCUGGUGACUGUGGAGGCCAUUUGAGUACAGUGAACUCAUUGUCAUGUUCAAGAAACCAGUCUGAGAUGAUUCCAGCUUUAUGACAUGGCGCAUUAUCCUGCUGAAAGUAGCCAUCAGAAGUUGGGUACAUUGUGGUCAUAAAGGGAUGGACAUGGUCAGCAACAAUACUCAGGUAGGCUGUGGCGUUGCAACGAUGCUCAAUUGGUACCAAGGGGCCCAAAGAGUGCCAAGAAAAUAUUCCCCACACCAUGACACCACCACCACCAGCCUGAACCGUUGAUACAAGGCAGGAUGGAUCCAUGCUUUCAUGUUGUUGACGCCAAAUUCUGACCCUACCAUCCGAAUGUCGCAGCAGAAAUCGAGACUCAUUAGACCAGGCAACGUUUUUUCAAUCUUCUAUUGUCCAAUUUCGAUGAGCUUGUGCAAAUUGUAGCCUCAGUUUCCUGUUCUUAGCUGAAAGGAGUGGCACCCGGCGUGGUCUUCUGCUGCUGUAGACCAUCUGCCUCAAAGUUCGACGUACUGUGCGUUCAGAGAUGUUCUUCUGCCUACCUUGGUUGUAACGGGUGGUUAUUUGAGUCACUGUUGCCUUUCUAUCAGCUCAAACCAGUAUGGCCAUUCUCCUCUGACCUCUGGCAUCAACAAGGCAUUUCCGCCCACAGAACUGCCGCUCACUGGAUAUUUUUUCUUUUUCGGACCAUUCUCUGUAAACCCUAGAGAUGGUUGUGUGUGAAAAUCCCAGUAGAUCAGCAGUUUCUGAAAUACUCAGACCAGCCCUUCUGGCACCAACAACCAUGCCACGUUCAAAGUCACUCAAAUCACCUUUCUUCCCCAUACUGAUGCUCGGUUUGAACUGCAGGAGAUUGUCUUGACCAUGUCUACAUGCCUAAAUGCACUAAGUUGCCGCCAUGUGAUUGGCUGAUUAGAAAUUAAGUGUUAACGAGCAGUUGGACAGGUGUACCUAAUAAAGUGGCCGGUGAGUGUACAUUUAGGGUUCACCUUGACUCCCUACUCCAUCAAAAUGGGCUAUGACCAGCAAGACAUCCAGGCCGGUUAGCUCAGAUGGUCAGAGCGUGGUGCUAAUAACGCCAAGGUCAUGGGUUCAAUCCCCAUACUGGCCAAAGACUUCCUCAUCACAAUUUUAACUAAAGGACACUGAAAGAAAACACAAAGAACUAUCAGCAUAUCACAUCCUUAAAAGUGACCUUUACAUGCUCAGUGUAGCCUUUGCAAAAAGCUUUCAUGAAAAAGUAAAUCUACCUUGGAGUGAGUCCCCAUACUAGUCAAAGACAUCCUCAUCAUAAUCAUGACCAAACUCCUCUGCCAGUCGUUUGAACUUGCAAUUUAUUGUAUGAGAAGGUCAAAAAUGGGGGGUAAGUGAAAUUUGGUUAAUUUGGUUAAUUUGCACUUUUUUCAGACCACGUGGCCUAAUGGACAAGGCGUCUGACUUCGGAUCAGAAGAUUGAGGGUUCAAGUCCCUUCGUGGUUGAAACCCUGCCUUUAGUAGCAAAGAUAAUCCUUUCCCACUAUACAUUUAGGGUUCACCUUGACUCCCUACUCCAUCAAAAUGGGCUAUGACCAGCAAGACAUCCAGGCCGGUUAGCUCAGAUGGUCAGAGCGUGGUGCUAAUAAUGCUAAGGUCAUGGGUUCAAUCCCCAUACUGGCCAAAGACUUCCCCAUCACAAUUGUAACGAAAGCAGACUGAAAGAAAACACAAAGAACUAUCAGCAUAUCAAAACCUUAAAAGUCACCUUUACAUGCUCAGUGUCGCCUGGGCAAAAAGUUUUCAUGUAAAAGUAAAUCUACCUUGGAGUUAGUCCCCAAACUAGUCAAAGACAUCCUCAUCAUAAUCAUUACCAAACUCCUCUUCCAGUCGUUUGAACUUGCAUUUUAUUGUAUGAAAAGGUCAAAAAUGGGGGGUAAGUGAAAUUUGUGACAUUUGCACUUUUUUCAGACCAUGUGGCCUAAUGGAUAAGGCGUCUGACUUCGGAUCAGAAGAUUGAGGGUUCAAGUCCCUUCGUGGUUGAAACCCUGCCUUUAGUAGCAAAGAUAAUCCUUUCCCACUAUACAUUUAGGGUUCACCUUGACUCCCUACUCCAUCAAAAUGGGCUAUGACCAGCAAGACAUCCAGGCCGGUUAGCUCAGAUGGUCAGAGCGUGUUGCUAAAAACACCAAGGUCAUGGGUUCAAUCCCCAUACUGGCCAAAGACUUCCCCAUCACAAUUGUAACGAAAGCAGACUGAAAGAAAACACAAAGAACUAUCAGCAUAUCGCAUCCUUAAAAGUGACCUUUACAUGCUCAGUGUAGCCUUUGCAAAAAGUUUUCAUGUAAAAGUAAAUCUACCUUGGAGUGAGUCCCCAUACUAGUCAAAGACAUCCUCAUCAUAAUCAUGACCAAACUCCUCUGCCAGUCGUUUGAACUUGCAUUUUAUUGUAUGAAAAGGUCAAAAAUGUGGGAUAAGUG